UUCACUUUCCCUUCCAUCAAAAUUUUAAGCAUUGUGCUCUCUUCCUUUAGCAACCUCCACUAUGCCAUCGUGGUUCACUCCAGUCUACACCUGGAGUCUGGUGACCUUCUUUCUAAGCAACCCUAUAAUCCUUCACACCUCCUACGCUCGACACUCCUUUUGUUGCGCCUCUUCCAAGCCCUUGUUGUGAUGCAUUGACGCUCUAGUGAAGCCUUAUUAAGAGACCAGGCACAAGAGUUGCGACAUGUUGUACACGUUGAUGAGGUGUUUCAACAUACUCAUCUUUGAAAGAGAUCUGGUCAGUUUGUUGAUGAGAGUCUCAAAGAAUACAUUGCCGAAAAAAAAGAGAGGAGAAUUUAUCUGCAACUCCAAGAACUUAAAGAAAGGGAAACUUAAAAAAAGGGAAGAAUUGUCCGAUUAAGUUCUGCCACAAGUGUCUUUUAACUGGGUAUGGUUGAGAAUACUGACGAGGCCGCGCAAUGUGUUAAUUGGACAUUUGCAACUAUAGUCUUUUGUCAGUGGGUAUUUUUUUUUUUUUCUAUUUGCUUUUUGAGUUGGUAGUGUAUCCAUGAGUUCAUUCUGAUAAAGGAGUUUUGUUUGUAGAAAGCGACGAGGUGAACAGCCUACUGGUCCCCUCUAUCGUAGUGCCAAGAAUAUGGCUUUAAGUCAUUUGUAAAAAUGCUUAUUAUGAAGAAGAAUUUAGAAACAUCAAAUCCAUUAAAUGAAGGUAUGUAUGGAAAAAGUAUGCUAUUUUUCCACCUGUCCCCUUUGCUAAAUCUCUUGUGAUUGAGAGAUUUGGUUGAAAGGACUCUCUUAUUUAACUGUGCAAAUUCAUAAUUAGUUAACUAUGAUAUGACUCUCUCGUAUUCGUUUUUGUUAUUUCUUGCAAGAGCAUGAAAUACUACAACAAAGAUAAUGGUGGUGAUAAUGUUGGUGCCAUGUUCCAAGGAGAGAUAGAGAGGACUCCAAAUGUUGGAAUGAACUUAGAAAGCAAAACAAUUAGGGAGAAAUAUUUAGGAAGUUACCAUCAAAGAGGUUGGAAAUGCGUUGCAGCUUUUUAGAGUUUUGCAUAGUGUUUGGAAUAUAUGUUAACAACUUUUCUUGACGUGUUUUUUAUUAAUUGUGUUCACUGAUAGAAUAACCACAUGGGUAAAUUCCUUUAAUACAUUAUUGUAGAAAAUGUCUUUAACGUCACUCUAUAGAUGUCUGACUUUAAAAUAUCUAACGUGAAAAAUGAUUAGUGACAUUUCCAUAAAUAAAAAGUAAUUAUUUAAACGUCGACUAUGCGCGACCCGACGUCUAAAUACUUAUAUACGUCAGCUCUCCUGAAUGGACGCCAAAACUGAAUGAAAAAGUAAAAAAAAAAAUUCUUUAUUCUAUUUAGACAUCGGCUAUGAGAGGGCCCGACGUCUAAAUACUCAUUAAAGUCGGCUCCUCCGAAUGGACGCCAAAACUAAACGAAAAAAAUAAAAAGAAUUAAUUUUUUAUUCUAUUUAGACGUCGGCCUGACGGCUAAAUACUCAUAUACGUCGGCUCCCCGGAAUGGACGCCAAAACUAAACAAAAAAGUAAAAAAAAUUAAUUUUUUAUUCUAUCUAGACGUCGGCUAUGAGGAUGACGACAUUCGUAGGACACAGUGUUGGGUCUAUGUCGUUGGUGGGAAGAAAAAGUGACGAGUGUACGGUGCAGGACAACUUGCUGCAAACUAUACAACAUCACGAGGAAGUACUCUGAAGCAUGAACCUUCUUCUUCCACCACUAUUGCUGAGGAGGCCAUCGAGCACUUCACAUAGUCACUACAACAACGUGACCAGGUAAAUCAUGAUUUGAGAGAAGAAUACAGUGACUUGAGAAACAAGUUUACAAACUUCAAGUCCCUAGUCAUGAGAGUGUUGCCUGAUGCUUCAGACAUUCAUUCUACCAUCCCUCCGACCAAGCCACGACCCUCCCCAUCACCCGCUGUCCCUCAACAGCCCACAUCAGUCCAACCCACAUCAGUCCAGCCCACACUAGUCCAGCCAUCUACAGAGAAGCAAGAUGAUGAAGAUCAUUCUGAUGAUGACUAUGUAGAUUAUUAGUUUUAUUUUGUUAUUAA